rnacentral:rRNA from 1 species
CUGGGAUAGCUGGGGGAAACUGCNGGUAACACCGGAUACGCACGAGAGUGGAAAGUUUACGCCCUGGGAUGGGCCCGCGUCGGAUUAGGUAGUUGGUGGGGUAACGGCCUACCAAGCCUGCGAUCCGUAACCGGUCUGAGAGGAUGAUCGGUCACACUGGGACUGAGACACGGCCCAGACUCCUACGGGAGGCAGCAGUGGGGAAUCUUGGACAAUGGGGGCAACCCUGAUCCAGCGACGCCGCGUGGGUGAUGAAGGCCUUCGGGUCGUAAAGCCCUUUUGCCGGGGAAGAUGAUGACGGUACCCGGAGAAGAAGCACCGGCUAACUCUGUGCCAGCAGCCGCGGUAAGACAGAGGGUGCUAGCGUUGUUCGGAAUUACUGGCCGUAAAGGGCGCGUAGGCGGCUCGUUUAGUCGGGUGUGAAAUCCCGGGGCUCAACCCCGGAACUGCAUUCGAUACUGGCGGGCUAGAGACCGAGAGAGGUGGGUGGAAUACCCAGUGUAGAGGUGAAAUUCGUAGAUAUUGGGUGGAACACCGGUGGCGAAGGCGGCUCACUGGCUCGGUUCUGACGCUGANGCGCGAAAGCGUGNGGAGCAAAU